AUUGAUUUCAAGAAUUCAUGGCACACACUAUACUUUAAACAUUUAUUCAAACAUUUCUCAUCAUUGUAUGUACACACUUUACAGCCAACCGAAAAUACGUUAAGAAAGCUUGCACAGGAAAAAAAAUAAAAUAAUAAUUCAGGAACUACAAUAUGUGCAAGAAAAAAUGCAAGUUAAUCAGCCUCAUGGGUGUUCCAAUCUCUCUCUGUCUGGCCACAACAUUUCAUCUACAUCAUAGCUGAUAUCCUCCCUUGCAAUGCAAUGCGGGAAAAAUCUUUUGGCAUGACGCAGCCACUCCCUACAACAAUCUGCUGGGAUGUCCUCACAACCAUCCAUUGCACCCAGUAAGGACAACUGGUCAUGAGGACGGUGAUCAUAGACCUUCCAUCUCCACGCAGAAAUGAACUCCUCAAUGGGAUUUAGGAAUGGAGAGUAUGGUGGGAGAAACUCCAUCAAAAAACGUAGAUUGGUACAUCGGACGUCCUCUUCAUGAUUCCUGCAUCCCGCUCUUACUUGAAUUAGUAGCUAAAGGGAUGGGGGCCCCUCAAGUUUUUUUUUUCCAAAAAUGUCAUUGUAGUCUGCUAAGCAUUGCCAAUCAUUGGGUGAAUCUCGAUGUGCGUUCUUUUGUGUUCUUAAGUUCUCGUGGACUUGUUCUAUGUCAUCAUCCACUGCCGAAGUUUGAUUCCAAUCUUUAAGAAUGCAAGUACUGAGAACGCAGGAAAUUACCCGGAUGUGCCCUUGAAAUCAAGGAUGCAUCGGACGGUGACUUGUGGGCAAGAACUCGGUACUAUGGUGGCAGACGAAGGACAUUUAUCGUUUUGUUUUUCCUCAAGAGUUUCCACUGUAAUCUUGCUAAAGUCUGACGGCACGUGAGAGUACUCCAUCAACAUUUGUUGUUUUUUGGGCAUCAUUUUAAUACAGUUAUAGACAUGUAGAGAACGAGUGUUUACAGACUUUAUUCUUUUAACGUGUCACUAGUCCUGCAAAACCUCACUGGUGUGAUGAUAUUAAUGCUGUCACUGGUGUGAUAAUGCCAUUAGUUCUCUCACUGGAUUCAAAUGUGCUGUGACAGUUAAUUGCGCAACAGGAAGAUCGCAGCAUAUCUCAAAGCUCGCAAUAGAUGCGUUCUACGUCCUCCUGUCCUCCCGAGUUCGUUCUUCCAAGGAUGCUUGGCAAGACUGGUCUUCAUAAGAACACAAGUCUGUUCACAGCGUUUUUUGAAUUGAGAUUCACCCAUUGGUUUCAAGUGUCGUUGCAGUAAACUACUGUUGUUGCCGCCCGCGGGGGUUCCCCAGCUUUGGGCCCCAGGCAACUGGGCCUGUCCCGUAGGACCGCCUCUGCACAAGACGCAUGUUAAGAAAAGGAUGGACAAAACUAAAUUGUUCGCUGUUUGUCGUGAUCAACAUUAUCCCACAAAUGCUGUUGACUGAGCUGAACUUGUACUGAACCUGGAAUAUUUCAUUAAAAGAUAUUGAGAGAUAUAACUGUAAUUUUACUCUCCAGUGUGAAACAUAUUCUAUACCACAAUAUUUUUAUGCUGGACUUCUGCUUUCCAGCCUGUCUCCUCUGAUCUCCAGUCAUCCGAAAGGCCUCUGCCAGCCUGCGAGCUGUCAAAGUAGCGCUGGAAUCAAACGCCACUCCAUGCUCAGCUAUGAUCAAAGCAACACAGAAGCAUGGAGCACACUGAUCAGUAUAAAACAAAGUGAUAAGGUUUUGAAGAGGUGGGGGAAGUUUGUUCUCGCCAAAACUUUUGGACAAAGGGAAUGUUGGAAUAGAGAUGAUGAGGCCCGACAUUUCAGCAAGUCUUAGGAGUAGGCCUCUAUUCUGGAGGAGAAGAUAGCACCGAUACAUUAAAUGUCUAGAUAACUUCUGUCUAUGAAUUAUUUACGGUUUUUGUGCCUUCUCAAACAUGACUUUGCCAUAGUCGAAAAACAACUUCCAAGGAUUUUAAUUGCUGUCCUUGGUACCCCUUUGAUGUAAAGAAAUGAGUAGCCAUAACUGAUAGCUAACCUCUGAUAUCUGAUCAUAAGUUUGUCUCAACCAAGGAUGGGACCUCGAUUCAUGUUGUGUCUAACAAUUAUUGUUUGCACGAAGACGGAAACAGUCCAUAUUUGUAAUAUGUUAAAAUGUUUGAAGCUGUUGACCUACCAGAAUGCUAGAAAGUGUGGUACGAUGACACCCUUAAUGUAAUUUGCAUAUGACUAUAAUUGCUUUGGAAAGUUUGUAAAACUGCACUUCAACUUCCUGUCUUUCUAACUGUUGUAUCUCAUCGACUCGUGUUGCCUACUGAAC